UUAAACGAGGACAGAUUUGGCUGAUUGCGACCUCGAAUUGAGAUUUCUUAAUUCAUAAACGCUAAAACAGUAAGA
rfam:Nonlabens sediminis DNA, contig: contig00001, strain: JCM 19294.